AGGCCAUCUCCCUUCCAUGCAUGGACAUCCCUUGGUGAUGAAGACACCAGCUGGAUGUCCUAGAAUUCAACUCAGUUCUGGCACUAUCUACCUGGAGAUAGCAUCAGAUCCCACAGGAAAUUCCAAGGGAUUUAGGAGCUCUGUACCAGGAAUGAGAUGAAGACCAAAAAGGUAUUUCUUAUUAUAAACCACAAUAUCACAAGGGUAUAAUAGUGGGACAUAACACCAGAGUGGAAGCUUGGGGACCAACUCCCCUUUACCUCAGCACUCCCAGGAAAAGCAGGAAAGACAAGGGAAAUGUCAAUGCAAAUAAUAAUCAAUCUAUAAAUCAAAACUGGGGUGAGUUUAUUGUAUGAGCCAGUCUGAGGACUAUAUAGGCUGGAAGAACGACCUUUGCCAAGGAAGGAAGCACUCCGAAGAAGCAGGGUGUACAGAGUGGUUACAUACCGUUUUGGAAGAAGGAACAUAUAUCAACUAUGACAGAAAUAUCUUUUUUUACUACGGUCACAAGAUGUUUUUCUAGCCCAGCAAGUCAGCGGUCACAAGAUAUACAUAGUGGGUCAGUUUGACUCAGUUUCUGGGAAGAAAUGCUUAUCUUUAAAGAAAUGCUGAUAUGGGGAGAGGCAUACAUCCCUAUCUUUAGAGGCAUCAUUCUUUGCUUUGGGACAUUAUAACUGUUUAAAGCCAAUGUACCAUGAGUGCUGGACAGGCCACAUCAGGCCAUUCUGAAAAACAAGGUCAGGCCUAACUAGUUUUCAACCAAAUGGGUUCCUCAUAUACCUCAAUAUAUUAACUUAUUCCUGUUGAUUUUCGUUGCUUCCUCAGAACAAACAGUGAGGGGAGGCCAUAAAUCUUCACUGCAAAUGCCCUGCUAGUCUUGGGGUUUUGAGUAGUACUGGUCAGGAGGCCAAGUAUUCCCAGAUGUUCUUGGUUAAGGAUGCAGGCUGGGACUAGGGUAAAGUGAGUGAGGCCUCACUUUGGGUGCAAAAUUUAAGGGGGAACGGAAAACUUGGUGAUCAAGACAAUUUUUUUUUUUUUUUGGUGUGAAAGAUUGCCCUGAGUGAACAUCUAUUCCCCAUCUUCCUCUUUUUUCUUUUUGGCUCGAGGAAUAUUGUCGCUGAGCUAACGUCCAUGCCAAUUUUCCUCUAUUUUGUACAUGGGACACCGCCACAGCAUGGCUUGAUGAGCAGUGUGUAGGUCCACACCUGGGAUCCAAACCCACAAACCUAGGGCCGCUGACGCCAGAGCACACAAACUUAACCACUACGCCACAGGCCUGGCUCCAAGACAAAAACUUUUAAUGCAAUAUUUCAAAUACUUAAAAUUAGUGCAAAAAGUCAUCAUAAAUAAAAUAUCAAAAUUUUAAACAAAGACAGGAUCCACAACACUGCCAUGCUGAACCCUAUUAGAGUCUGAGGCAAAAGGAAAAUUCAGUGAUACCCGUCCUGCCUUUGUUUAAAAUGUUGUUAUGUUCAUCGUGGAUAUUUUGCAUUAGAUUUGACUGUUUUAAAUGUUGCAUUAAAAUAUUUUUCCAUCUUCGUUACUGAGUUUUUGGUGCCCCCUUAAAUUUAGCACACAGGAAGGGUACCUCAAGCAGAGAGAAGCGUUCAAGAUCUUACACCUUGUUCCCUCAUCCUCAGCACACUCCUGUGAAAGGACUUCAGUCUAAAAUGGACCUGGAGGAUAUAGAGUGGAGAAUUUCGUGCAUGUGCCCUCAGGAAAAUGAAACUUAAGAACUGAGAGACUGAUUCCCCAUAAACGCCUGAUCUAUAGAAAACAGGAACUUGUCUCCUGACCGAUGAACAUCCGCCAAGGAUCUCUCCCCGUCCUCAAGCCAAUGAACUUACUGCUUGGACUCUGACUUCCCCACUCUUUGCACUUCUCGCCCAUAAAUAUAACCAACCCCAAACCUCCAAUGGACUUGCCUGUAGCUUGCUACAGUUUGUGUUUCUCAAAUUGCAAUCCUCUGCUAUUCCCGAAUAAACUCACAUUCUGCUAAUUCAA
ensembl:lncRNA